AACAGACGAAUUGUUGCGUCGAUAGAUACAGGGUGGCACCUGUGGGUUGCUUCUGUGGUAAUGUGUGCAUAUGUGCACUGCACCAUCUUACUGUCUCCAACUUACUUUGGGCAACCAAGGUCUUUUGCACUUGGGCAAUCUAUGCAUGUACAUAGUUGGGUUCUCUGUUAUUUGAGUUUCGCAUGAUAUAUUUGCGAAUCUAAAUAUUCCUUUAAGAAGCGCGUUUUGCAGAUUUGAAUGCCCACGCUGGAAGUAAAUAUGUUGAUUUCACAAGUUUUUUUGUCAAUGAACGAUUACUGGUCUGAGUGGUGCACUUAAAUUGAUUUUUAUAACUCCCGAGAAGGUUCGAUAGGGGGGGGCUAUGUAUGUUCUUGGUUUACAUCUGACUCGAAUUGUGUAUAUCAACAUAGUGUAAGGGCCUAGUAUGUCUAGAUAACAUGAUAAGAGAUGGGAGAAUAUAUGAUCGACGAAUAUAAAUUAUUAUGACUGUUAACAUUCUUACGGAAGAUUGUACAAAAUCCUGAGUAUCACCAAGUUUAGUUUUUAAGUCGGCCCACUAGUACUUGUGAGUAUUAUUCGAAUAAUUUUAAAUGUAAUCCUUGAUUGCUGACGCAACUUAAGGGGAAUUGACUCACGGACCGAUCUAGUGCUCUCCACCCUUUGCUGUUUGUGAAGUUGAAUUUUGGGACUAGUCUAUACAUUGAAAGUUGCAAAAGAUCCUGGUCUUACAAUUUAAAAAUUUUGAAUAGUCAGGAGUGGCGGUAAAGUCUUUUGGCAGGCGCGCAGGUAGUCUUUUUCCUCGUCCGUUCCUUAAUAAAGAUUUAAAUCCAAACAAAUUUUAUGGUUUUUGUUUAAAAAAAAAAAUUAACUCUAAACUUGCAGUUAUUGCACAACUGAGUGAAUAACAUGAUAGUCUUAUGACAUAGCUAUCGCGAAACACUUAAUAUUUUGCUCAGCAGCGGUAGACUGCCGAUUUUCUAUCGCCCUUGCACCGAAGGCUGAAAUCGUUGGAAAAUAUUGCGAAUCUAUUUUGUGCUCAUCAGGGAGGAUUGGUUUCCUUCAAAUUUCGGAGCUUUUGGUUGAAUCACACAAACCAUAUCGGGCAAAAUGGCCAAGAACCUUGAAAACUUAAAUGGGUAUUAUUAAUGAUCGUAUUUCAUAAGACUUCAAGGUAACGCUGAGUUGACGGCUAUGACACAAAUUAUAAAUUAUUUUAUUUAGUUUUAUUUCUGAAUAUGUUUCCUUUUGUGUAUGUGAGUUAUUUUCAAAUGAACACGUACCCUUUUUUUAAUUUAAAUGCCAAUUUUUUUUGUCGAAACAUUUUAAUUGGUUUACUUUGUAAUGUAAAUUGCUAAUUACAAAGAUACACUUUUCAUUUAUUUUAUUCGCUUUCGGUAUAUAUAUGUAGAUAGUAGGCAAAAUUAUAAACAUUUAACUAAAAUAUCUAUGUAUUUGUGCAUUUUUGAGAAAUAGUAUCGUAUUUAGAAACAAAUUAAAAAUUGUAUAUAAAUUUUAAUUUUUAUAUUUGCAGGGAAAAUAUUCUGAUACUAACAUAUUUAAGAGUCUGCGUAGACUUAUAAUUUCUGGGUUAAAAUUAUAGAAAUAAAAUAAAGCAUUUAACUUAUGGUAUGUAGCUUUGUUUUAUUUUAAGCUAAAUUUGCAGAAAUGCAUACAUUAUUAAGUUUUGAGCUUACGGUUUAUAAAAAAAUACGAAUCAUAUGGGAGUGCAUCGAGCGUAACAUUGUGACGUACUUAUAAAAUUACACAGCUCAAAAAAAUGCAAUGGUCUAAUACACUGCAGACUUUAAAAUACCAUUAACACACCAAUACGUCAUAAGUAUACGAAGGUUGAAAACAAUGUUCUUGUGAUGAAUUUGAGUUUAGUUCAAUACACGUAUGUUUGUGAUUUCUUGCUGAAAUUUAUUACAUUUAUGAUAGCUUUAACUGCUUGCAAGCUGUUUUUCUAUCGGACCCAAUCCGUGCAUCCGUGCAUACUGUAAAAAUUAUACAACAGUAUGUUUAAAUCUGUAUCUGCAAGUUCGCGACAACAGCAUCAAAUAAUUUUAAAUAUUAAGAAAUCCAUCUAACCGUGAUGCAUGGCCGACAUGGGUUAUUCUGCUGGGAAAAAAGGCAAAAACUAUAAAAACUGUAAUUAAUAUAUUUGUAUGAGGAAAAAUCCUUUCCUUGCAGAUAAAAAUAAGAUAUUUAAAAACUGGAAAACCUAAUAAUAAAUGGGGAAAACAAUUGAACAAAAUGUUUGUGUAUGAUAGUAUCUAUAUUUUCAAGCGCUGUUAUUGCAAAAUGUGUUUUAUUUUACUUUUCCGCCCAUCACUUCCGCUAUUCUAUGUAUGCAUAUGUAUGUAUGUAUAAGAUUUUGUUAAACAUUUAUGAAUCGUUUAUGUAUUGUAGGAUUUAAAGUGGUUUUUCAAUUUAUUGUUGUAGCUUAUAUGGCCAUCAUAUUAUAUGUAAAUAGUUGUUCACUAAUACAUAAUUAUGUUAUUUAAAUCAUUAUUAAUUUUUUUGUAUAUAAAUUAAGGACUUAAACAUAAUAAGAAAAUUUUUUAUAAAGUGUUUUGUUUACUUGUUUCAUUACUUGAUUUUUAAAGUUUUUUACGCAAUAAUUUUAAUAUACCUUUAGUUUUUGCUGUGAUUUUUAUAUUUUGUAAAUGCUUUAACUUUAUUUGACUUCGCUUCAUCAGGAUUUACUUUCUGAAGUUAGGUUCAUACGUGAAAAAUUGUAUUUUGUUUGAAGUCAUACAUGCCUUCAAUGAUACUGUUUCAAUGUGCAAA